GACAGAGGAUGCAAGCGUUAUCCGGAAUGAUUGGGCGUAAAGCGUCUGUAGGUGGCUUUUUAAGUCCGCCGUCAAAUCCCAGGGCUCAACCCUGAAUCGGCCGUCGAUACUCCCGGGCUGGAGCACUGUAGAGGCUAAUGGAAUUCCGGGUGUAGCGGUGGAAUGCGUAGAGAUCCGGAAGAACACCGGUGGCGAAGGCGGUUAGCUGGGCAGUUGCUGACACUGAGGCGCGACAGCCGUGGGGAGCAAACAGG
rnacentral:rRNA from 1 species